AAAUUGAAGAGUUUGAUCAUGGCUCAGAUUGAACGCUGGCGGCAGGCCUAACACAUGCAAGUCGAGCGGCAGCGGGAAAGUAGCUUGCUACUUUUGCCGGCGAGCGGCGGACGGGUGAGUAAUGCCUGGGAAAUUGCCCAGUCGAGGGGGAUAACAGUUGGAAACGACUGCUAAUACCGCAUACGCCCUACGGGGGAAAGCAGGGGACCUUCGGGCCUUGCGC
rnacentral:rRNA from 1 species